GGGGAAUAUUGCACAAUGGGGGAAACCCUGAUGCAGCGACGCCGCGUGGAGGAAGAAGGUCUUCGGAUUGUAAACUCCUGUUGUUGGGGAAGAUAAUGACGGUACCCAACAAGGAAGUGACGGCUAACUACGUGCCAGCAGCCGCGGUAAUACGUAGGUUGCAAGCGUUGUCCGGAUUUACUGGGUGUAAAGGGCGUGUAGGCGGAGAUGCAAGUUGGGAGUGAAAUCCAUGGGCUCAACCCAUGAACUGCUCUCAAAACUGUAUCCCUUGAGUAUCGGAGAGGCAAGCGGAAUUCCUAGUGUAGCGGUGAAAUGCGUAGAUAUUAGGAGGAACACCAGUGGCGAAGGCGGCUUGCUGGACGACAACUGACGCUGAGGCGCGAAAGCGUGGGGAGCAAACAGGAUUAGAUACCCUGGUAGUCCACGCUGUAAACGAUGAAUACUAGGUGUGGGAGGACUGACCCCUUCCGUGCCGCAGUUAACACAAUAAGUAUUCCACCUGGGGAGUACGACCGCAAGGUUGAAACUCAAAGGAAUUGACGGGGGCCCGCACAAGCAGUGGAUUAUGUGGUUUAAUUCGACGCAACGCGAAGAACCUUACCAGGAUUUGACAUCCAACUAACGAAGUAGAGAUACAUUAGGUACCCUUCGGGGGAAGUUGAGACAGGUGGUGCAUGGUUGUCGUCAGCUCGUGUCGUGAGAUGUUGGGUUAAGUCCCGCAACGAGCGCAACCCCUAUUGUUAGUUGCUACGAAAGAGCACUCUAGCGAGACUGCCGUUGACAAAACGGAGGAAGGCGGGGACGACGUCAAAUCAUCAUGCCCCUUAUGUCCUGGGCUACACACGUAAUACAAUGGCGGUCAACAGAGGGAAGCAAAGCCGCGAGGUGGAGCAAAUCCCUAAAAGCCGUCUCAGUUCGGAUUGCAGGCUGCAACUCGCCUGCAUGAAGCUGGAAUUGCUAGUAAUCGCGGAUCAGCAUGCCGCGGUGAAUACGUUCCCG
rnacentral:rRNA from 1 species